UCACAGAAUGAAAACACGACGACGACGAUAAAGAAAGAAAGCUACGGUUCCUACUCUAGAGUAGGUACGCAUGUGUUUUUUUAUUUUGGUUGUUUCUAUUUUACCCUCUUUUUUUCUCUUUCUUUUUUA
rnacentral:ribozyme from 14 species